rnacentral:rRNA from 1 species
UACGUAGGGGGCGAGCGUUGUCCGGAUUCAUUGGGCGUAAAGCGCGCGCAGGCGGCCUGGCAAGUCGGCCGUGAAAUCUCCGGGCUCAACUCGGAGGGGUCGGGCGAGACUGCGAGGCUCGAGGCGGGUAGAGGGCAGUGGAAUUCCGGGUGUAGUGGUGGAAUGCGUAGAGCUCCGGAGGAACACCAGUGGCGAAGGCGGCUGCCUGGGCCCGGCCUGACGCUGAGGCGCGAAAGCGUGGGGAGCGAUCCGG